UUGCUUGAGCAGCACAUAUGCUAAAAUUGGACUGAUACAGAGAUUAGCAUGGCCCCUGCACAAGGAUCACACACUAAUUUGUGAAGCUUUCCAUAUUUUU
ensembl:snRNA U6 U6 spliceosomal RNA